UCUAAUGAGGGUAGUUUUAUAAUUUGCUCUGUGUUGAGUAAAGUUCUGUACUGGUGAUAUUGACUGUUUUCAGAAACUUGGCUGUUUGGAUUUAUUCAUUCAGAAAUUGUCUUUUAAAUCAUCCUUUUAAAGUCUUUUGUAUAGUUUCUUUUUCUAUUUUGCUGUUUUCCAUAAGGAUUUGUAGCAUUGCGGCAGAUAGAUAAUCUGUUCUUGUAAUAUUACAUUCUUUUCUUUUUUUUUCUUUUUUUUUUUUUUUUAUUGUUUUUUCAAGACAGGGUUUCUCUGUGUAGCCCUGGCUGUCCUGGAACUCACUUUGUAGACCAGGCUGGCCUCGAACUCAGAAAUCCGCCUGCCUCUGCCUCCAAGUGCUGGGAUUAAAGGCGUGCACCGCCGCUGCCACCACCACCCGGCCUAGUGUUACUUUUUUAAUUUAUAUCUUGUUAUUGUUUCUUGAACUUUCUAUUUAGCUUUAACUCCAGGACAUAGGGUUUCAACUUGGCCACCAGCCCCAUGUGGCUUUUGAGCACUUGAAAUGUAUUGUUAUAGGUAGUUUGACUUACAGUAGGAAUUUUUUUUAGUGUUUUGUUGUUUCAUUUUAUAUUUGAAAAGUGUGUAAAACACCUCAGCUUCUCAUUAUAUUUGCUUGUUAAAAUUUUAACUACUUUCACCUUUUUUGCUUUAUUAAAUAUACUAGAAAAUGUUAAAUUAGGAUUUACAUUUAUGUUGGACAGCAAUAUUAACAAUAAAUAUUGACAUAGAUGUUUCUAUAUCUUGGCCACUUUCUUCUGAUUAAUGUCUUGCAUUUCUAACUGUCUUUUUGGCAUCCUUUUCCUUUUUCUUAGGAUAGUCUGCAGAAGUUCCUUAAUGCAUUUAACCAGUUCUCUUGUUUCUUUGCUUCAAAGCUCUUGUUUUGCUUUCAGUUCUAAGGAAUUAUGGUUUCUUACAGCUUUGUGGAUAGUUUUCAACACUUUGAAGAUAACAUUCUAAUUGUUUUUUUAGCUUCUCUUAUUAAUUUGCAGAAAUUUGCUCUAAAUCUAAUUCCUGUUGCAUUUAAAGAGAAUCUUUUUUUUUUUUUUUUUUUUUUUUAAUACUUUGUCUGCUUUUUUACUCUGAUGGGGGCCAGGUGGAAUUCUUGGUCAUGCUUUAGAGUCCUUCUGGAUUGUCAGAUCAGCAUAUCAUUGUCUUUAUAAAACAUAGAAGGAAGUGUUAGUACUUACCUCCUCUAAUUAAACCUUCACUUUCAUUGUUAAUUCAAAGAAUUCAAGGUUAUAAUUUUUUUAGUGUGUUUUUGCUUACUUAUAAUAUGUACUUAUUUCUCAGGGGAGUGCAGCAGUUAUAUACUUUAGGAAAUUAGAGGAAUAGGUAGGUAUGGGAUAAUGGUGUUUUUGAGAAAUCACACUUUACUAGGAAAGAUUCCUAGGGUUACUAUCAGUCAUAAAUGACUUCUAUCUAAAUCUUGGAAUUCCUUACUAUAGACAACAUUUUACAGGACUUAAACAUAUGUUAAAAUCUUGCCAUUUUCCCUUAUCCUCCUUAGGUUGCCCUUAAUUUCUCAAGGUAAGAUGGGUAGUUUCUGAGUACCCACUUUUGGUGGACCUGGAGUUGUGGCCUCAGUUGACUCAUCCUUUUUCUUAGGCAGAAAUGACUGGAUGUGGAGCUUUUCUCUGACUCUCUUCUUUCUAGAUCCAUGUAAUUUCAAAUUGCUUUAUAUCUUUUAUUAUCAAGUGUGUGCACAUGUCUGUGUUUUGACUUCAGCAAGAUGAUCUGUCCAGUUUGCCUUAACCAUAACUUUAAACCUCAUAUACUCUUUUUGUUGUUGGUUUAAAUGAAUGAAGUUCAUGAUUUUUGUGAAUAUGUGGCAAGGAUAUGUUGACCAGUAGCAGUUGUUUUGGACUAGAAAUUACAGAAAUACUCAAUAGCUCUCUAUCCAAAAGUAAGGUAUUAGUGAGAGAAUAGGCCUGCUCUGGUUUUUGGUUUUUCUUUUAGCAUCCUUAACCGCCUAUGUCAGUAAAAAUAUAAAAUUAGUUUCCCUUUUUUAGUAUAUGUAAACAAAUAUAUAUAUGUAAACAGAUUAUAUAUUGUAUUUUACUUUUCUUUUGCUGCCAAGAUUUAACUUCAUUGGUACAUUAAGCUAUAAUUCAUCCAUUUUCGUUACCAUAUACUAAUAUCUCUUACAUUCAUAUAUAGUGAAAAGAUAUAUAAAAGGCUAAGAUAUUUGUAUUAAAAAGCUACAUCUAUAUCAUCUUUAAUAAUUAUUCCUAAAAUUGUAAAGCAAUAUUAUUUGAAGCUUAAUAGUAGAAGAAUUAGAUAAAAUAACUGAAAAAAUGUCCUGAGACAGGAAACUGACAAGCAAUAUUAUAACCUUCCUGGGCUAAGCAAAGUGCCAAGUAAAGAACAAAAUAUUUUAGCCUCUCCUGUAACAAAGAGUAGUGAGGUGAUUUUAAAUAUAAACCAUGUAGGGGUACAUCUUCUUUUGUUUGUGUGUUUUGCUUUUUUGUUGGUUUUAAGACAAGAUUUUCUUAUGUAGUUCCAGGCUAUUUAUAGACUCCCUGUGUUGCCUAGGCUGGCCUUGAGUUUACCAUGAAUCUCUUCAGAGUCUAAAAUACAAAAUUAAAGCUUGAACUGCUAUAUGAAGUAGUGAUUUUUACCUUUGAAAUUAUUGCCUUAUAACAAAAACAAAGUGUUUAAAAAUAUUUUGUCGUUUUAAUAUCUGAAAUGUCUUCUUGUACCACAGAGGCAAAUUUGAUUAGAGUAAGUUCCUACAUUCCUGCUUAUAAACACUGUCCAAUCUUCUCUACUAUUGACCUAGUUUCUAGUAUGAACUCUUGCCUUAGUAAGUUGUAUUAGUUUUAGUCCAGAGUUGACAAUGGAAUUGUCUUUGUGUUAUAUAUUCUG
rnacentral:lncRNA from 1 species